GGCUAAAACUUACUACCGAAGCUACGGCAUCAGUAAUGAUGGGUAGGGGAGCUUCCCAUACGGGUUGAAGCAUGACCGUAAGGACAUGUGGACAGUAUGGGAGUGAGAAUGUUGGCAUGAGUAGCGAGAUGUGGGUGAGAAUCCCACAGGCCGUAAACCCAAGGUUUCCAGGGGAAGGUUCGUCCGCCCUGGGUUAGUCGGGACCUAAGCUGAGGCCGAAAGGCGUAGGUGAUGGACAACAGGUUGAUAUUCCUGUACUACCGAUAACCGUUUGAGAGAAGGGAUGACACAGUAGGAUAAGCUAAGCACACUGUUGGUUAUGUGUGCCCAAGCAUUGAGGCAGUCAAAGUAGGCAAAUCCGCUUUGAUAAUGCUGGGAUGUGAUGGGGAGCGAAAUUUAGUAGCGAAGUAGCUGAUUUCACACUGUCAAGAAAAGUCUCUAUCGAGGUUAAAGGUACCCGUACCGCAAACCGACACAGGUGGGUGAGGAGAGUAUCCUAAGGCCAGCGAGAGAACUGUUGUUAAGGAACUCGGCAAAAUGACCCCGUAACUUAGGGAUAAGGGGUGCCACCAUCAGGUGGCCGCAGAGAAUAGGCCCAAGCGACUGUUUACCAAAAACAUAGGUUUCUGCUAAGUCGCAAGACGAUGUAUAGGAGCUGACGCCUGCCCGGUGCUGGAAGGUUAAGGGGAUCUGUUAGAGCAAUCGAAGCAGUGAACUUAAGCCCCAGUAAACGGCGGCCGUAACUAUAACGGUCCUAAGGUAGCGAAAUUCCUUGUCGGGUAAGUUCCGACCCGCACGAAAGGCGUAACGAUUUGGGCACUGUCUCAACAACAGACUCGGUGAAAUUGUAAUUCCGGUGAAGAUGCCGGAUACCUGCGACAGGACGGAAAGACCCCAUGGAGCUUUACUGUAGCUUGACAUUGGGUCUUGGUACUACAUGUACAGGAUAGGUGGGAGGCUUUGAAACCAGGACGCCAGUUUUGGCGGAGUCAUCCUUGGGAUACCACCCUUGUAGUACUGGGACUCUAACCAUAGGCCAUGAAUCUGGUCUUGGGACACUGUCAGGUGGGCAGUUUGACUGGGGCGGUCGCCUCCCAAAAGGUAACGGAGGCGCUCAAAGGUUCUCUCAGUACGGUCGGAAAUCGUACGUAGAGUGUAAAGGCAAAAGAGAGCUUGAUUGCAAGACAUACAGGUCGAGCAAGGAUGAAAAUCGGACUUAGUGAUCCGGUGGUUCUGCGUGGAAGGGCCAUCGCUCAACGGAUAAAAGCUACCCUGGGGAUAACAGGCUUAUCUCCCCCAAGAGUCCACAUCGACGGGGAGGUUUGGCACCUCGAUGUCGGCUCAUCACAUCCUGGGGCUGUAGUAGGUCCCAAGGGUUGGGCUGUUCGCCCAUUAAAGUGGUACGCGAGCUGGGUUCAGAACGUCGUGAGACAGUUCGGUCCCUAUCCGUCGCAGGCGUAGGAAAUUUGAGAAGACCUGUCCUUAGUACGAGAGGACCGGGAUGGACGUACCUCUGGUGUACCAGUUGUUCUGCCAAGGGCAUGGCUGGGUAGCUAUGUACGGAAUGGAUAAGCGCUGAAAGCAUCUAAGCGCGAAGCCAACUUCAAGAUAAGAUUUCCCACCGUAAGGGUAAGACCCCAGAAAGACUAUCUGGUUGAUAGGUCGAAGGUGUAAGUGCAGCAAUGUAUUUAGCUUAUCGAUACUAAUAGGUCGAGGACUUGACCAA
rnacentral:rRNA from 1 species